UUCAGUGAGCCAAAAUCGCACCAUCAGGCUCCAGCUUGGGCAACACGAGCGAAAAUUCAGCUCAAAAUAAAUAAAUAAAUAAAGUCCAUGUAAGAGGAGACUGAGAGGGUAGAAAGUUCACCCGGGAGGAGUACUUCAAGCAGAAGAGGCAGAAGAAGCUGAGAGCUCUGGGACAUUGAGAGACAGAGUGGUUAGGUCAGGCAGGGCCUGGGAAGCCACUGUGAGGAUUCAGAGCUUUCCCCUGAGAGGAAUUCUUAAGAAAGGGAGGGCGGAGAACUGGGUCCCCUGAGCGCCCGCAGGGAAGUUACGAGUUUCUGCUCAUGGAGCAUGUGGGCUCUGAUGCCCCACCUAUCAGCCACAGCCCACACGGUAAAAGCUGGUGAGGCAGGGGAGGCUGAGGACCAGGAAGUCCCACAGUGGACCUGGGUGGGAAGAUACCAGAAGCUAGCAGAGGUGACAGUGGGCAGGUGCUUCAGUUUCCCUUACUGUAAAGUGGGUAGAAUCACCCUUGGAUCAGUGUGUUGAGAAUUUGUAAGGAUGGACAACAGUAGUAGCUGGAGGAAAGCCUUGUGCGCUUUUAAUGGCUGGCAUGGCUCAGAAGGUGACUGCUGACUGCCUCCCUCCAAGCCAGCAAACCCUGGGAUUACAGAAACACAGCAGCCCCUCCAGCAUGAGGUGGCAACUUACCCAAGGAAAGAGAAGUAUACCAAGGAAAUCAGCAAAUAGCCUGCAGAUAAUUUUAUGUAGUAGAAGGAGCCUGGACUUUGGAGCCAGAAAGACUUGAAUUUGUAGCCGGGAUCUGUCACUAGCUGUGUGACCUUGGACAAGUCACUCUCUGAGCCUCAUUUCCUCUUUAAUAACAAGAGGACAAUUGCAACAAGCUGCGCUAAUUCCAUUGUUUUAAGGGUUAGAGAUGGCAUUUAUAAAAUGUUCGGCACAGCAUGAGGCAAUAAUGGCCCUCAACAUUUGGUAGAAGUAGGUAAACAUUCAAACCAUUAGAGAGGUGGGUUUUCAUCUGUGCUCAGAACAAGGCGAGCGCUGUCUGCCACCUUUGCCCUUUGUUAGUCCUUUAUCCAUUAACCUUCACUGCUAGGAGGUCCUGCCUCAUGUCCAAUCUGCAUGCAUCUCUUCACGUGGCAGCUGGAACCUACCUGGUCUUGAUCUGCCCUAACGAGUGGAGCCUGACAACACCUGCGUACCACCAAAGAAAGGAGCCAAGCCCUGGCCACCCACAGGGCCUCUCCCACUAGUUUCUACAGAGAAGCUCACAGAAGACACGGAAUGUUGGUCCUGCUGAAAAAGCAGGCAAGCUGGGGGACUACAAUCAUGUCAGGAAUACAGGCACAGAUAUCACCCUCUCUCAUCACUGUCCAUGGUCCACACACCAAGACCUAUCACUUUGGACACAAACCUUCCCAGGACCAGGACAGGAGAUAUCAACUCUAAGGAUGAAGCUGCCGCAUAACUCUGUGAUUAACACACACUGACUCUGGACGUCAGGGGAGAUUAAAGCAGGGAUCAGACGCUUUUGAAGAGAAGGUGGCCAUCUGGAUGGUGCAGGUGCAAGGUGGUGGAGGCUGAAAGGUGGCAGAUGGCUUGGUUCUGUGAAGGCAAAUUAGGGAACACAGAAGAUGACAGAUGGGCAGGUGUUGGGUCCUUGUGAAAAGGAUUUGCCCAAGUGAAACAAAGAUUUUUUUUCUAUUUAAAUUUGGGUCAAGCACAAGGAUUUCAUCGCUAUUUAUUAACUGGCUUUCAAACUUUGCCUACAAACAAAGUGGAAAUCUCUUUAUAGCAGAUUAAUUUGGCAAACAACUCAAGUAAUAAAAAGGAGAGGAGAGGCAAGGUUGGCCUACCAUCCCUUAUUUGCAAUUCUAAAAGGUAAAACAGUUCUGAAAACUAAAUUUAAAAAAAAACGGAUUUGGCAGCGUAACCUGACUUCAACUGAUCUCUUUGUCAUCUUUAUUCCAUGUAGUGUGAAUAUUUGAUGCAGAAAUGUUGAUGCGUUUGACUAUUGAGUACUGCCCAGACCCCACUAGGGUUUUACGUAAUACACGUAAUAUGCCCUAUAGUACCUUUCUAAAGUCCAAAAAGUUCAAGAUUUUGAAACACACCUGGUCCCCAGGGUUUGUUCACAGAUCCCACUUACCUUCAAGGACAAUGUAUGCUGAGCAGGCUGCCCGGUGCUGGCCUCAGCAUGGGAUGCUCGGGUGUGAGCCAGUGGAAGAGGCUGCAAAGAAAAGAUACAGCUCUUUGUAUGGGUACAUUUGCCAGGGAGGGGAGCAGUGUGCAAAUGCUCCACUAGACUGGUGGAUAUGAAGUUGACAAAGAGGGAGAGAAGCCCUUAGGAAAGGCGUCCUCCUGAGUGAAAUGAUAAUUCACUUCGAGAUAGUGCUAAUAAUUAAAACAUUUUUAUGGCAUUUUAAGAAACAUCAAUUGGGCCCACAUGCAAAACUACUCACAACUCCUUGUAACACACGUUUCAGGAAUGUUGCUAUCCCUUAACCUGCCUUUCUUAUCUUCAUCAGGUGGGUCCCCCAUCCCUAGCCCUGCUUAUGGCCUCCUCAGGAGGGCCAGCGAGGAGGACGGCUGAGGUGGGAGGGCAGGGAGCCAGGCGGAUCACUAUAAAUAGAGUCCACCUUCUCCAUUCUUCUUACUGAGCCACUUCUGAGCUUUCCAAAACAACUGCAGCAGCAGCAGCUGUUGCUUCAGCAGCCACAGAAGUGUUGGUGUCACCAGGUCACAGCCUCAGGUAAGAGAAGGGGCAUGGCUGCAGAGGGGCAAAGUCAGAGGGGCUGUGUUGGUGCUGAGCUUCAGGGCAGCCUUAUGAGAAAGUGAAUAAAUAAAUACCCACAGAGUUCUCGUAAUGAAAGAGAAAAUGUAACAAUUUCUUGGAAAUAUUUUUAAAAACAGAGCUUCAUUCUAAAAGGAAAUACCUCACAUGGAUCUUAGGCAGAGAAGCCUGAGCAACUUGCAAUUUUAACAAUGGUUUUGUCAUAGAUGUAAAGGUAAUUUUUUUGAAGAUUUUUUUGUUAAUAGAAGAGCUUAAUAGAAGACCUUAAAUGAGGUUCAGGACCAGUGAUGCUGAGAGGGCCACCAUUUCUACACACUUUCUAUGACAGAGGAUGCAGGAGCAGAACAUGCUAGGGUCUCCUCCUACACCGGGCUCAUGAAGAGAUGCUGAUGAGGAGAGACUUCUAGGUAGGAGAGGAUAAGGUUCUGGGUGGGGAACCUGGAGCCCUCAGGCAACAGGGACAAAUGGGAGGAGUGUCCAUAGCCACCUUCUGUCUGACUGUAUCAAAGGAAGACUGCUACCCAGUGAUGGAUGGGCUGGGGUGGGAAGUAGAGCUCUUCAUCGCUGGAGGUGUUUAAGCAGAAGCUGGCAACUCCUUGACAGAUACACUGAAGAAAGGAUUCAUGAAUCAGCUGGGGGAUUAAAAUAUUAUGUUGAUGCAAAAGUUAUUUUCAUCAGGAAGGACAUAGGAGGGAGUGUUUCCAAAUCUUAGGGUGGAAGUGGGCAACAAAUUACUACUGUCUUUGCAGCCACUGAUAUGCCCCUCCCCAAAUUUCAGACAGGGCGUCAGUGCAGCUGGUGGUCAAGCAUCCCUUAGGAUACGUCCCUUAGGCUACUGAGGAGGAGGACUUGAAGACUUCUGGGCAGAUGCUCUCACCUGUAGCAACAAGUAAUACUUGGAUAACUGUAAUGGACUAGAGAAAUACUCAUCGAGAGCUUCUUAAAAAUAUUUUAGCCUAGAAAGACAAGGUGAGCUCACGUUUGACAAAAGGCAAGCUUUCCAGGGGUUGGCUGUUUUUCCCCAUGCAAGCAGGACCCCACACCCACUGCAUUCCCCUUCCCUGGCUACUUUUGGUUUGUAGGUGGUGGAAUGCAAAAGAUGUGCUUUCAGCAAGUAUUUAACACCAGGACAGAUGUGGAACUACCCAGAUAAUGUGCAUCUCCCGUUGCCUGUCUCCAUGACUCUCUCCAGUGGAAUUUUCUGCCAAGAGGGAAAUAUUCUAUGUCGUCCAGUUUGGUCUCCAUGAGCCACAUGUGGCUACUGGACAAUUGUAAUGUAGCAUGAGCACAUACAUACAUUUUAAACUUAAUUUAAUUUUCAUCGAUGUAAAUGUAAAUAGCCUCUUGUAGCUAAUAGCUAUUGUAUUGGACAGUGCAGUGCUGGAAUAUUCAUUCUUUGAUAGCAGGAAUUGCAUUUUUAAAAAGUCUUUGUAUCUCUGGCUCCUUGUAUAAUGCCCAUGAGUAGAUAUUGGAUAAAUAAACGACGAAAGAUGA